AACGUAGGUGGCAAGCGUUAUCCGGAUUCACUGGGCGUAAAGGGUGCGCAGGCGGCCGGGUGUGUCAGAUGUGAAAUCCCGAGGCUCAACCUCGGAACUGCGUCUGAAACUACUCGGCUAGAGUACUGGAGAGGGUAACGGAAUUCACGGUGUAGCAGUGAAAUGCGUAGAUAUCGUGAGGAACACCAGAGGCGAAGGCGGUUACCUGGACAGUUACUGACGCUCAGGCACGAAAGCGUGGGGAGCAAAAGGG
rnacentral:rRNA from 1 species